rnacentral:misc_RNA from 1 species
UCAAACUUGGUCAUUUAGAGGAAGUAAAAGUCGUAACAAGGUUUCCGUAGGUGAACCUGCGGAAGGAUCAUUAACGUAUCUCUGACGGCGAGGGCGAGCCCUGCUCUGGACCGAAAGGCCUGUCGAGCAGGCGACCCCGAGUCGCUCAACCUUUACAAACCCACCGUGCACUCUUGUCGGCGGUAGGGGCUUCGCGGCCCCGAUGCCGGUUCACAAACACCGAAACGUUUGAAGAAUGUCUAGCGGACUCCGUUCCGCCUAAAUAUUUAACAACUUUCAACAACGGAUCUCUUGGCUCUCGCAUCGAUGAAGAACGCAGC